GAGGGUAUAGCUCAAGGAGGGUAUAGCUCAUGCUUAGCAUGCAUGAGGUCCUGGGUCAAUCCCCAGUACCGCCU
rnacentral:tRNA from 1 species